GCGAAAGCAAGAAAUGGUCAGAAUUUAGUCAGCACUGGUGUUUCUGAUUUCAGUGGUGGCUGAGACUAGCAGCAACCUUGCUCUUCUGGCAGGUGAGCAUUUCGAUUGUUCAUCCUUCCUUUGGAUACCAUCACGGCAACUUGAAAGUCAUGAAAAAAUGCAGAACACUUGGAAGAGACAACCAUGGAUUAUUGCAGUCAGCGCUUCCCAAUGUGGCUUUACCUUGCACAGAUGAAACUCAUGAGCAGCUCAAGCAGAGAGGAGAUAACUACAACCCAGGAGAAAUUCCUGAAUGAACACAGAAAGGACUUCAGCAACGCAUUCGGCCUUGGAGAAGAUAAAGGAGGAAGUUUUCUAAGAUGGGGAGGACCUUUCCUCAUGCCUCUCCUAGACAAGACCACAGGCUGCAUGGCUGCUUGUCUGCCAACUGUGACGAAAGCAGCCUCUUCCAGUCUACAGGAUGCAAUACUUUGUCCAAGAUUCAGUUAACAGGUGGAAGUGGUUCUUGAGAGUCAAAUCAGUUCUAUAAGUGUUUGGUGCUCAAAACUGCAUUCCCUCAGCUUGCUGCUCAUUUCAAUGCUGUAAUGGAUAGUUCCAUGAUCACUGGUGCCAGUCAGCAUGUCGCUAACCAUUGUAGUGGAACAAAGUGAUAUCCUAUGGUGUGAUGAGACAGACAAGGUUCCUGUGGACUAGAUUAUUACAGAAAACUGGAGAGCUGAGAUCUGAUGGCACUGAAAGGGGAGAAGGCAGGCAUAAAGAGGAUCAGCAUUCCUUUGGAAGAUAUUCAAAUCUGAAGAACUUUUGGUUUCACAAUGGUUUUUAGAAGCUGCAUCACCAAAAAGGGUGUGUAUAAGGGUGUGAUUGGGUAUGGCAUCACUCAAGGAGAGCCAGGUAUAGGCUCCAACAAACCAGGACUAAUUCACAUGAUUUUGAUCACCUCUUCUUUUUCUUGGGUCAUUUUACUACUUACUGAGAUAAAUGAAUUACACAAACUGUAUUAAUAGCUUUUACACAAAAACUGGAGGAAGCUUCCUAUACCACUUUGGCUACAAAUGAAUCCUUCACACCCAGCAUUUCCCAAAAGUUGUGCUUCCUGUUUGGUUAGCCAGCUGUUUAGCAACUUAAAGCAGAGAUGAAUAAUGUUUCCAAAUGUGAUUCCACUGAUAAAACUGUGCACAUGCUAUGAUUAAAGCAAAUUAUAAUAAAUUCUAAAGCUUGAAAAAUAGCUACCAGGUUGGCUUUGAAUUUCCAGUUUGAUUACAGGCUAGUGCCUAGCAUCUGAAAGUUACACUAAUGCACACACUCAGAUUGCCACAAGCAGUCUUACUAGGGGGAUGUGUUGAACUGUCUCGACUAAAGACCACCAUUGGAAAGUAUCUGUCUCUUCUCUCUUAAGGACAGUGUUUUAGAGAAUUAAAAGGUGUUCUCUUGUCCUUAUUCCCUUCCGUUGCCCCACCCCUUCCUCAGCUCUGUGGUUUCUUUUCAACUGUAUAUUCGGAAUAUAUAAGAUACGUUAAAGACUGAAAGAUGAAAUAAAAAAUAAAAUUUUUAAGCAAGGAUGAGAUGAA